GCACUGCUGAGGAGUUCCACAAUAAGAGUAAACGGCCGUCCAGUGC
rnacentral:hammerhead_ribozyme from 1 species